rnacentral:rRNA from 1 species
GUGGGGAAUAUUCCACAAUGGGCGCAAGCCUGACGGAGCAACGCCGCGUGAAUGAAGACGGUCUUCGGAUUGUAAAGUUCUGUCAUUAGGGACGAAGGACUCAUGUAAAUAAUAUGAGGAAUGACGGUACCUAAGGAGGAAGCUCCGGCUAACUACGUGCCAGCAGCCGCGGUAAUACGUAGGGAGCAAGCGUUGUCCGGAAUUACUGGGCGUAAAGGGCGCGUAGGCGGAUAAUUAAGUCAGAUGUGAAAUCUCCAGGCUUAACUUGGAGCGUGCAUUUGAAACGGGUGAGUUGGAUGGCAGGAGAGGAAAGUGGAAUUCCUAGUGUAGCGGUGAAAUGCGUAGAUAUUAGGAGGAACAACAGUGGCGAAGGCGACUUUCUGGACUGAACCUGACGCUGAGGCGCGAAAGCAUGGGGAGCGAACGGGAUUAGAUACCCGGGUAGUCC